AGGACGAACGCUGGCGGCGUGCUUAACACAUGCAAGUCGAGCGGAAAGGCCACUUCGGUGGUACUCGAGCGGCGAACGGGUGAGUAACACGUGAGUAAUCUGCCCUCCACUUUGGGAUAGCCACCGGAAACGGUGAUUAAUACCGGAUAUGACCUUGGCCCGCAUGGGUUGUGGUGGAAAGUUUUUCGGCUGGGGAUGGGCCCGCGGCCUAUCAGCUUGUUGGUGGGGUGAUGGCCUACCAAGGCGGUGACGGGUA
rnacentral:rRNA from 1 species